rnacentral:rRNA from 1 species
AUGGAACCGACCUGGCCGGAGAUGGCGGAGGGCCUGGCGCCAACCGAGACCAUCUUCGAGCCCCAGACCGAUGAGGGGAACGACCUGGACGAGCGGGUGGUGGCGGCCGUCGACGACCCGGAGGUCGUGGAGACUGACGAGGACACCCCACGCCGGGACAACGUGGCCGAGCGGGUGGAGGUCGAAGGAGGGGGUCGCGCGGAGGACGCCGCCCUGGAUGGAGCGCCGCGGGAGACGCCGGCCAAAGCGCCAGGGUCGACACCGGCCGUGGAGGAGCCGGCGGGAGGUGAGCACGCCGUGGUGAUCAUACCGUCGCAGGCUGCCGUGAACCCGGAGCAAGCGCCGGGGAGCGGCCCCGUCGCCGGGUCGCAGCAGCCCCGGGCCGGAUUCAUGUUUGGGCCGCCUGCCUAG